rnacentral:rRNA from 1 species
GAUGAACGCUGGCGGCGUGCCUAAUACAUGCAAGUCGAGCGAACGGACGCGAAGCUUGCUUUUCUGAUGUUAGCGGCGGACGGGUGAGUAACACGUGGAUAAUCUACCUAUAAGACUGGGAUAACUUCGGGAAACCGGAGCUAAUACCGGAUAAUAUUUUGAACCGCAUGGUUCAAAAGUGAAAGACGGUCUUGCUGUCACUUAUCGAUGGAUCCGCGCUGCAUUAGCUAGUUGUUAGGGUAACGGCUUUCCAAGGCAACGAUGCAUACCCGACCGAGGAGGGGGGUCGGCGACACUGGAACGGGAACACGGUCCAGACUCCUACGGGAGGCAGCAGAAGGGAAUCUGCCGCAAUGGGCGAAAGCCUGACGGGGCAACGCGGCGUGAGUGAUGAAGGUCUUCGGAUCGUAAAACUCUGUUAUUAGGGAAAAACAUAUGUGUAAGUAACUGUGCACAUCUUGACGGUACCUAAUCAGAAAGCCACGGCUAACUACGUG